UCACAGUGGAGAGUCCCCUUGAAAGUUGC
rnacentral:piRNA from 1 species